rnacentral:rRNA from 1 species
AGAGUUUGAUCCUGGCUCAGGAUGAACGCUAGCUACAGGCUUAACACAUGCAAGUCGAGGGGCAGCAUGAACUUAGCUUGCUAAGUUUGAUGGCGACCGGCGCACGGGUGAGUAACACGUAUCCAACCUGCCGAUGACUCGGGGAUAGCCUUUCGAAAGAAAGAUUAAUACCCGAUGGCAUAGUUCUUCCGCAUGGUAGAACUAUUAAAGGAUUUCGGUCAUCGAUGGGGAUGCGUUCCAUUAGGUUGUUGGCGGGGUAACGGCCCACCAAGCCUUCGAUGGAUAGGGGUUCUGAGAGGAAGGUCCCCCACAUUGGAACUGAGACACGGUCCAAACUCCUACGGGAGGCAGCAGUGAGGAAUAUUGGUCAAUGGACGAGAGUCUGAACCAGCCAAGUAGCGUGAAGGAUGACUGCCCUAUGGGUUGUAAACUUCUUUUAUAAAGGAAUAAAGUCGGGUAUGCAUACCCGUUUGCAUGUACUUUAUGAAUAAGGAUCGGCUAACUCCGUGCCAGCAGCCGCGGUAAUACGGAGGAUCCGAGCGUUAUCCGGAUUUAUUGGGUUUAAAGGGAGCGUAGGCGGAUUGUUAAGUCAGUUGUGAAAGUUUGCGGCUCAACCGUAAAAUUGCAGUUGAUACUGGCUGUCUUGAGUACAGUAGAGGUGGGCGGAAUUCGUGGUGUAGCGGUGAAAUGCUUAGAUAUCACGAAGAACUCCGAUUGCGAAGGCAGCUCACUGGAGUGUAACUGACGCUGAUGCUCGAAAGUGUGGGUAUCAAACAGGAUUAGAUACCCUGGUAGUCCACACAGUAAACGAUGAAUACUCGCUGUUUGCGAUAUACAGUAAGCGGCCAAGCGAAAGCGUUAAGUAUUCCACCUGGGGAGUACGCCGGCAACGGUGAAACUCAAAGGAAUUGACGGGGGCCCGCACAAGCGGAGGAACAUGUGGUUUAA